CCUGUGAUGUCACACUGAUUUAUGUUUUUUUCAAAAUUUUGACACGGAAAAAAAUCUGUGGCAUCCACAAUUUUGGAGCAAAUAAACAAGUAAUCUGGAUUGGGUCGGAUUCUUCUUAGCGCCAAAAGGAACAAAUGAAACUUCAUUAGCUACCCCCCGCCAACGGGCUUACUCACUAUGUCUCUGUCUCUGUCUGUUUUCCUCGACCAGUGCUCUCCUGUUGCAUAAAGAUUCCUACUCCGGCGGCCAGGCUCUGAUAAUGCAACACAAAGCUUCAACUUCAAUUUUAACCAACAAAAGACCCUGACAAGCAAACAAAGCAUCAUCAAGCAUACUGUGAGAAAUAGAGAGAGAUAGGGAGAGAGAAACAAAACGAGAUAGAGACGGCAAAAGUGAUAGAACGAGGGAGGUGCAGUGGGGAGAACAAACAAUUACAGCCUUGAAAUGUAUUCCUGAGUCACUCCUCAACCAUAUUUAUAUCAUGGCUGUGGGGUUUGACGACUUUGAUAAGAUGUUUGCCAAAAAAAAAGGGCACUAUUACGGACAUAAUAAACUGUAAUUUUCAAAUUCACCAAGUAUGAAA